ACACACACACACACACACAUAUUAUGUUUACCACCACUGAAUUUUUUAAUUUGUCCCAAAAGUAAUCUUGCUCCAUUAACACCAUCCGUUUCUUUAGAUAUUUCACUUUUAUGGUAUUUUGUUCCACUAAAAUUUAAGUUUGCCCAAUUGAAUUUUUAAAUUUGCUCCCAAAGUAAUCUUACUCCUACUAAAUCCAUCAAUUUCUUUAGACAUUUCACUUUCUUAGUAUUUUAUCCCACUAAAAUUUUAGAUUUGCCCCCACUGAAUUCUAAAUUAUCCCAAAGUAAUUGAUAUUAUGUGAAUAAAUACAAUCACUCGUACAUAUUGCUCCACUGACAAAUAUUUUCAAAUCCGCCACCCGAUUGAAUGAUCAUAGCGAGUGCUUGUGUGCGUGAAUAAAUAUAUACCACAAUUUAAAUUCUAGAUCUAUACAUCAAACAAACAUAUGAUAAUGAAAGCAAACUACUUACACAAGCUGCAGACUUGAAGAUG
rnacentral:misc_RNA from 1 species